rnacentral:rRNA from 1 species
UACGUAGGUGGCAAGCGUUGUUCGGAAUUAUUGGGCGUAAAGGGCGCGUAGGCGGUUUGUUAAGUCGGCUGUGAAAGCCCCCGGCUCAACUGGGGAGGGUCACUCGAUACUGAUCGACUCGAAGGCGGGAGAGGGAAGCGGAAUUCCCGGUGUAGUGGUGAAAUGCGUAGAUAUCGGGAGGAACACCAGUGGCGAAGGCGGCUUCCUGGCCCGUUCUUGACGCUGAGGCGCGAAAGCUAGGGGAGCAAACGGG